rnacentral:rRNA from 1 species
UACGUACCGUCCAAACGUUAUUCGGUAUCACUGGGCUUAAAGCGUUCGUAGGCGGCUUGGAAGGUGAGAUGUGAAAGCCCACGGCUCAACCGUGGAAUUGCGUUUCAAACCACCAGGCUUGAGGAAGAUAGGGGUGAUGGGAACUUAUGGUGGAGCGGUGAAAUGCGUUGAUAUCAUAGGGAACACCGGUGGCGAAAGCGCAUCACUGGAUCUUUUCUGACGCUGAGGAACGAAAGCUAGGGUAGCGAACGGG